CACCACAAAGGAGCCAAGCUUACCUUUGAUAAACAAGUAGUAGUCAUUCAAAGAAUGUUUAUACCCUCUGGAAUAAAGAGCAGAAAACAAUUUGGCAUACCAUUGUCUGGAAGCUUGUCUCAGCCCAUACAAGGAUUCUUGGGUUUACAGACCAGAGGAGGAGAAGGAGAAGAAGGGGAAGAAACAGAACCAGAAGUAGAAGGAGAGACUGUCAAACCUGGAGAAAGUUUCAUGUAAACAUACUCAUCCAAAUCACCAUGAAGAAAGACAUUAUUGACAUCAAGCUGAAAAAGAGGCCAAUGAUUCUUUACAGCCACACAAUAAGGCACUUUACAGAAGUCAUUUUUAUCACUGGAGAGAAAGUUUCAGUAAAAUCAAUCCCUGCUCAUGGCAGCUUGCCAAGCUGGGACAGAUGCUGCCUGAGAAUAGUAUAGAGGCUCAGAUUCCAAAGAGGAGGAAGAUGAGCCAGAGAAGGCGGGGAGUUGACAGACAUAAUCCUUAAGAUAGGAAGGAGGAUUAUGUUGUCUGUGAGACUUUCUGGGAGCAGGAACAGAGGGAGAAGGAAUUAAAACAGGAGGUGAACUAGCAGGACUGAGAGGAAUAGGAGAAUCAGAGAUAUCAUCAUGUUCUCAGAGGGAAUAAAGGGAAAAGAAGAAGCAGGAGGAGUAGCAGAGGGAGAUACAGAUUUAAAAGGAAAAACUGAUUCAUGAAAUAGAACAUCCCUGGAGACCAAAUACUUCCUAGAUGCAAGAUCAUAUAAACUAUAACCCUUUUUGCCAAAAGGAUAACCCAGGAAAACACAAGGAAUGGCUCUGGCUUUAACUUGUCCCUUUGAGGGAUGGGAACAGUGGUUAUAACCCUUUUUUCCAAAAGGAUAACCCAGGAAAACACAAGGAAUGGCUCUUGGCUUUAACUUGUUCCUUUGAGGGAUGGGAACAAUAGCAUAGGCAAGGCAACCAAAAGCCCUCAAGUGAGUAUAGGAAGGAAUUUUUCCAUACAAAAUUUCAUGAGGAGACUUAUUAAGUAGCAAUCUGGUGGGUAUUCUGUUAAGAAGAUAGGUGGCAGUCAACAAGCAGUCCCCCUAGAAAGAUACUGGCAAGCCAGAUUGAAAGAGCAAUGCUCUACAGGUUUCAAGAAGAGUUCUAUGCUUUCUCUCAACAACACCAUUUUGUUGAGGNNNN
rnacentral:lncRNA from 1 species